GACCAAGCAACUGAUUGAGGUCUUCAGGAAGGGGAAGUUAGACAAACACACACCAGUCCUCAUCGAGGUGGAGCAGUUCCUGGCCGUCAGCAUCUCAGAGGAUCUAUACCGAGUCAGAAUCAGGAAGCUGAGUUAUUCGAACAUGGCUCAACAACGUCUUCAAUCUUCAUCAAAGGAUUUGCAGUCAGCCAAGAAGAAUUGAUCAUCCUUGUUCGAGAAGUGCAAUUGAGGCCAGGCUUUCUUCUGAUCUGCUCACUUACCCCUCCUAAUGGAUUAUACUGUGUGGAAUGCAAGGAUAGACAAAGCCUG